GACGAACGCUGGCGGCGUGCUUAACACAUGCAAGUCGAACGGAAAGGCCCUGCUUUUGUGGGGUGCUCGAGUGGCGAACGGGUGAGUAACACGUGAGUAACCUGCCCUUGACUUUGGGAUAACUUCAGGAAACUGGGGCUAAUACCGGAUAGGAGCUCCUGCUGCAUGGUGGGGGUUGGAAAGUUUCGGCGGUUGGGGAUGGACUCGCGGCUUAUCAGCUUGUUGGCGGGGUAGUGGCUUACCAAGGCUUUGACGGGUAGCCGGCCUGAGAGGGUGACCGGCCACAUUGGGACUGAGAUACGGCCCAGACUCCUACGGGAGGCAGCAGUGGGGAAUAUUGCACAAUGGGCGGAAGCCUGAUGCAGCAACGUCGCGUGCGGGAUGACGGCCUUCGGGUUGUAAACCGCUUUCGCCUGUGACGAAGCGUGAGUGACGGUAAUGGGUAAAGAAGCACCGGCUAACUACGUG
rnacentral:rRNA from 1 species